UAGUGCCAUUUUAUGGGAGGAACUGGAGCCCAGAGAAGUGAAAUGACUUGCUCCCACAUAUGGAGUUAAUUAGGUGAUAAGUGCCAUCACUUUUCAGCAUCUCCUGACUUGUAGUCCGGGUCUCUUCUGGCAGUGCUUGUGCAGCGAAGCCGUCACCCCACUCAGCAUCACUGGCGGGUUCUCACUCUGCAGUCAGGAAAAGGAAAACAUCCGAUAAGCAGGCUGAUUCCUUUUACUACACAGUAAAGACCAGGAAGCAGGCUUUCUGCAGACAAAUUGGCUUCCAGUUCACCCAUCCGGUAACAAACAUAUGGAGACGCAAGCCAGGGUGUUUGUUACCUGAGAGAGGACCUUCUCUGCAGAAGCUUGAGGGAGAUAUGACUGCUUUGACCUGAGGAAGCAACACUUCCACCUGAUAAAUUACAAAAGCUUUACUUCUGAAGAACAUGCAGUAAGAUACCUGAACAUUUCUGCUUCUAGACAGGACUGCUGCAGAUAUUAAUGGCUGGGGCUUCUCCGAAUAAGAAGAGACGCAACAAUAGGGCGGUAAUGCAGAUGAACUUUACUACUGACAACCAUACAAGAAUUGUUAAUAUUAACUAAACUGGAUAAAGUAGUACAACUUUGAUGGAGUUCAUGAUGUAGCCAUUUAACUGAUAAAAACAAGAAGGCUUUAAGGUAAAGGACAUCAUUUACAAAAAACUGCAAGAAAAAGUACAACACAGAAUCACAGGAACUAUAAUUGGAACUUUGUAAGUAUUUAAAUACCUGUCAAAAAGGGAAUUUAGAAGAAACGAAGGGAAUAAAAAUAUAAAUAUA